rnacentral:tRNA from 1 species
GGGUAGAUUCCCGAGUGGUUAAAGGGACUUGACUGUAAAUCAAGCGGCUCAGCCUUCGAAGGUUCGAAUCCUUCUCUACCCACCA